rnacentral:rRNA from 1 species
GGGGGUUUGGGACACCGCCAAGUCCUUAGGGUUUUAAGCGUUUGUGCUCGUAGUCCCCUGGCGAAUGCUUGGGUGGGGAAAAAGCAUUUGAAUUUACGGCCAG